rnacentral:rRNA from 1 species
AUUGAACGCUGGCGGAAUGCUUUACACAUGCAAGUCGAACGGCAGCACGGACUUCGGUCUGGUGGCGAGUGGCGAACGGGUGAGUAAUGUAUCGGAACGUGCCCAGUCGUGGGGGAAAACGUAGUGAAAAUUACGCUAAUACCGCAUACGGUCUAUGGAUGAAAGCGGGGGAUCGCAAGACCUCGCGCGAUUGGAGCGGCCGAUAUCAGAUUAGGUAGUUGGUGGGGUAAAGGCCCACCAAGCCAACGAUCUGUAGCUGGUCUGAGAGGACGACCAGCCACACUGGAACUGAGACACGGUCCAGACUCCUACGGGAGGCAGCAGUGGGGAAUUUUGGACAAUGGGCGAAAGCCUGAUCCAGCCAUUCCGCGUGCAGGAUGAAGGCCCUCGGGUUGUAAACUGCUUUUGUACAGAACGAAAAGGUUUCUACUAAUACUAGGAGCUCAUGACGGUACUGUAAGAAUAAGCACCGGCUAACUACGUGCCAGCAGCCGCGGUAA